rnacentral:rRNA from 1 species
AUUGAACGCUGGCGGCAGGCCUAACACAUGCAAGUCGAGCGAGCGGCGGACGGGUGAGUAAUGUCUGGGAAACUGCCUGAUGGAGGGGGAUAACUACUGGAAACGGUAGCUAAUACCGCAUACCAUCAGAUGUGCCCAGAUGGGAUUAGCUAGUAGGUGGGGUAAUGGCUCACCUAGGCGACGAUCCCUAGCUGGUCUGAGAGGAUGACCAGCCACACGGGAACGGAGACACGGUCCAGACUCCUACGGGAGGCAGCAGUGGGGAAUAUUGCACAAUGGGCGCAAGCAUGAUGCAGCCAUGCAGAGUGUGUGAAGAAGGCCUUGGGGUUGGAAAGCACGUUCAGCGAGGAGGCGGUACUCGCAGAAGAAGCACCGGCUAACUCCGUGCCAGCAGCCGCGGUAAUUC